UUUGUAGCAUACAGAAAUAAUUCAGUGGCUGAACGGGUGUGUAACACGUGGGCAAUCUGCCGAAAAGUGGGGGAUAUGCUCGCCGAAUAGGCGAAUUAAUACCGCUAUGUGGUGAGGGACGACAUCUUCCUGAAUCCAAAGCCGGGGUAACCUGGUCGCUUUUUGAGUGAGCCCGCGGCCUAUCAGCUAGUUGGCGGGGUAAUCGGCCCACCAAGGCUAUGACGGGUAGCUGGUCUGAGAGGACGACCAGUCACACUGGAACUGAGACACGGUCCAGACACCAUACGGGUGGCAGCAGUCGAGAAUUUUUCUCAAUGGGGGAAACCCUGAAGGAGCGAAGCCGCGUGGAGGAUGAAGGCUUUCGGGUUGUAAACUCCUGUCAUUUGGGAACAAGUAGUACGUAGUAAACUGCACGUGCAUUCGAUCAGUACCAGAAGAGGAAGGGACGGCUAACUCUGUGCCAGCAGCCGCGGUAAUACAGAGGUACCCAAGCGUAGUUCGGAUUCAUUGGGCGUAAAGGGUGCGAUAAGUGGCGCCGUAAGUCGGGUGUGAAAUUUCGGAGCUUAAACUCCGAAACUGCAUUCGAUACUGAGGUGCUUGAGGACUGGAGAGGAGACUGGAAUUCAUGGAGUAGCAGUGAAAUGCGUAGAGAUCAUGAGGAAGAACA
rnacentral:rRNA from 1 species